GUAGGGAAUCUUCCACAAUGGACGAAAGUCUGAUGGAGCAACGCCGCGUGAGUGAAGAAGGUUUUCGGAUCGUAAAGCUCUGUUGUUGGUGAAGAAGGAUAGAGGCAGUAACUGGUCUUUAUUUGACGGUAAUCAACCAGAAAGUCACGGCUAACUACGUGCCAGCAGCCGCGGUAAUACGUAGGUGGCAAGCGUUGUCCGGAUUUAUUGGGCGUAAAGCGAGCGCAGGCGGAAUGAUAAGUCUGAUGUGAAAGCCCACGGCUCAACCGUGGAACUGCAUCGGAAACUGUCAUUCUUGAGUGCAGAAGAGGAGAGUGGAACUCCAUGUGUAGCGGUGGAAUGCGUAGAUAUAUGGAAGAACACCAGUGGCGAAGGCGGCUCUCUGGUCUGCAACUGACGCUGAGGCUCGAAAGCAUGGGUAGCGAACAGGAUUAGAUACCC
rnacentral:rRNA from 1 species